UGUUGGAACAAAACGACGGGGAAACGCCGAUAACAAAUGUGCUCGAGUUGUUUAACGAUCUGUACCACAGAUUCCGAUUGACAACUAAACCAACUAUGAAAGCAAUGUGCCUUCAGGCGAUGACUAAAGUUUAUGGAAAAUGUUAGGAAGAGAUUGGCGCUUUUAAUGACACCAGCUAAGGAUCAUCUGUUAUUGAUCCAGUGUUACUACAGGAGCCU
rnacentral:lncRNA from 1 species